GCGGGAAUGGCGGAAUUGGUAGACGCACCAGAUUUAGGUUCUGGCGCCGCAAGGUGUGAGAGUUCAAGUCUCUCUUUCCGCACCA
rnacentral:tRNA from 4 species